GUCUCUGGAGGGUGUGGCUGCAAUCAACACCGGGUGACUACUCACACCUGCAGCUCAUCUGCUCAUCUGCCUCAAGUUAAAAGCCCUGGGCUCAAAUUGACUCAUUGCCAGAUUAUUGAGUCUACUGAAGUGAUUCUCACCGGUGUCAUCUCCUCCAGUCUGCUCUCCUCACAGACAACUCAACCACUCACCCGCCUGCCUACAGAACCAGCUACUCCAUAGUCUCCUCUACGCCAUCAUUACCAGCCAGCCAGUCAGCCAUCCACCUUUCCCAAACCCUGCAAUAAAACCUCAAAUCCUUCAACUUU